rnacentral:rRNA from 1 species
UGGGGAAUUUUGGACAAUGGGGGAAACCCUGAUCCAGCCAUCCCGCGUGUGCGAUGAAGGCCUUCGGGUUGUAAAGCACUUUUGGCAGGAAAGAAACGUCGCGGGUUAAUACCCCGCGAAACUGACGGUACCUGCAGAAUAAGCACCGGCUAACUACGUGCCAGCAGCCGCGGUAAUACGUAGGGUGCAAGCGUUAAUCGGAAUUACUGGGCGUAAAGCGUGCGCAGGCGGUUCGGAAAGAAAGAUGUGAAAUCCCAGAGCUUAACUUUGGAACUGCAUUUUUAACUACCGGGCUAGAGUGUGUCAGAGGGAGGUGGAAUUCCGCGUGUAGCAGUGAAAUGCGUAGAUAUGCGGAGGAACACCGAUGGCGAAGGCAGCCUCCUGGGAUAACACUGACGCUCAUGCACGAAAGCGUGGGGAGCAAACAGGAUUAGAUACCCUGGUAGUCCACGCCCUAAACGAUGUCAACUAGCUGUUGGGGCCUUCGGGCCUUGGUAGCGCAGCUAACGCGUGAAGUUGACCGCCUGGGGAGUACGGUCGCAAGAUUAAAACUCAAAGGAAUUGGACGGGGUCGAUANCU